ensembl:snRNA U1 U1 spliceosomal RNA
AUACUUACCUGGCAGGGGAGAUACCAUGAUCACGAAGGUGGUUCACCCAGGGCGAGGCUCAGCCAUUGCACUGCGGUUGUGCUGACCCCUGUGAAUUCCCCAAAUGCGGGAAUCUCAACUGCAUAAUUUGUGGUAGUGGGGGACUGCGUCAAGGCGCUCUCCCCUC